UGCAAGUCGAGCGGUAGAGAAGGAGCUUGCUUCUUCUUGAGAGCGGCGGACGGGUGAGUAAUGCCUAGGAAUCUGCCUGGUAGUGGGGGACAACGUUUCGAAAGGAACGCUAAUACCGCAUACGUCCUACGGGAGAAAGUGGGGGAUCUUCGGACCUCACGCUAUCAGAUGAGCCUAGGUCGGAUUAGCUUGUAGGUGAGGUAAUGGCUCACCUAGGCAACGAUCCGUAACUGGUCUGAGAGGAUGAUCAGUCACACUGGAACUGAGACACGGUCCAGACUCCUACGGGAGGCAGCAGUGGGGAAUAUUGGACAAUGGGCGAAAGCCUGAUCCAGCCAUGCCGCGUGUGUGAAGAAGGUCUUCGGAUUGUAAAGCACUUUAAGUUGGGAGGAAGGGUUGUAGCUUAAUACGCUGCAACCUUGACGUUACCAACAGAAUAAGCACCGGCUAACUCUGUGCCAGCAGCCGCGGUAAUACAGAGGGUGCAAGCGUUAAUCGGAAUUACUGGGCGUAAAGCGCGCGUAGGCGGCUUGAUAAGAUGGGUGUGAAAUCCCCGGGCUUAACCUGGGAACUGCAUCCAUAACUGUCUGGCUAGAGUACAGUAGAGGGUGGUGGAAUUUCCUGUGUAGCGGUGAAAUGCGUAGAUAUAGGAAGGAACACCAGUGGCGAAGGCGACCACCUGGACUGAUACUGACGCUGAGGUGCGAAAGCGUGGGGAGCAAACAGGAUUAGAUACCCUGGUAGUCCACGCCGUAAACGAUGUCAACUAGCCGUUGGAAUCCUUGAGAUUUUAGUGGCGCAGCUAACGCACUAAGUUGACCGCCUGGGGAGUACGGUCGCAAGAUUAAAACUCAAAUGAAUUGACGGGGG
rnacentral:rRNA from 1 species